UUUAGCGGCGGACGGGUGAGUAACACGUGGGCAACCUGCCCUGCAGAUCGGGAUAACUCCGGGAAACCGGUGCUAAUACCGAAUAGUUUAACCUCCCUCCUGGGAGGUUACGGAAAGACGGUUUCGGCUGUCACUGCAGGAUGGGCCCGCGGCGCAUUAGCUAGUUGGUGGGGUAACGGCCCACCAAGGCGACGAUGCGUAGCCGACCUGAGAGGGUGAUCGGCCACACUGGGACUGAGACACGGCCCAGACUCCUACGGGAGGCAGCAGUAGGGAAUCUUCCGCAAUGGACGCAAGUCUGACGGAGCAACGCCGCGUGAGUGAUGAAGGUUUUCGGAUCGUAAAACUCUGUUGCGAGGGAAGAAACCGUGCCAACUAACUA
rnacentral:rRNA from 1 species